rnacentral:tRNA from 1 species
AUAUAGAAGUAAAUAAAUUACAAUUAGUUUCGACCUAAUAUAAGGAAUAUAAAACCCUAUAUU